rnacentral:lncRNA from 1 species
GUUCCUUCAAAGCUAUCUACUUAAGUCACUGUUACUAAAUGGCCCACUCAGAGAAUUUCGGCAAGAGGAGAGGGAGAAGAAUAGACGGUAGAAUAUUUUUUUGGAAAAGAGAGUCAAAAUUUGGUUAUGGGAAAAAAUAAAAUAAAAUCUCGAUAACCCUCAAAAUCCCUUAAUCUUCUCCUCUAAUUUCCACUACACAUCCACUACUCAAAAUCCCCAUAUUACACAACUCUAUCCCGGAAUCUGAGCAAAAAAAAUAAUACCCUUGCCUGCAUAGGGAUUUGAACACAAGACCUCCACCAUAAUAACACACCCUUUAACCACCA